rnacentral:rRNA from 1 species
UACGGAGGGUGCAAGCGUUAUCCGGAUUCACUGGGUUUAAAGGGUGCGUAGGUGGGUUUGUAAGUCAGUGGAUGAAAUCUCCAAGCUUAACUUAGGAACUGCCGUUGAUACUAUAAAUCUUGAAUUGUUGUGGGAGGUGAGCGGAAUAUGUCAUGUAGCGGUGAAAUGCUUAGAUAAUGACAUAGAACACCAAUUGCGAAGGCAGCUCACUACACAAAGAUUGACACUGAGGC